rnacentral:misc_RNA from 1 species
AACGAACAGAUCGGUGUGUUACAGAAGAAAUCUACAAAAGGGUAGGGUUUCCGUUUUCUCUGUCUAAGUAGUUGCCGCCGGAAAAUUGAACAGAGAGAAGCCAUGGACGGCGUAAUGUCGGCGUCGGACCAGCAGAUGUUAGUUUCUUCUUUCCUCGAAAUCGCCGUUGGUCAAACCGCCGAUACUGCCCGGCAGUUCCUCCAGGCAACAAGCUGGAAGCUUGAGGAAGCAAUUCAGCUUUUCUACAUAGGAAAUGAGGGUGGGGCAGCAGCAUCUUUUAACUCUCCACAAUUGGGGAAUGAUGCACUUCUUGGUGAUCCAAGCUUGAGUGGAGUUGGAAACGACUCAGCAGACACCAAUUUGUUACAAGGCGAUGGAGAUGAUGUACGUCCACCUUUACCUGUAAAAAGGGAAGUUCUUUAUGACAAUGCGGUACUUUAUGGUUCUUCAGGAAUGGGAGGUUCAUCACGUGAACCUCGUCUAGUAGUUCCCUUCCGCAACUUUGAGGAGGAAAUGAAGCAUCCGGGAGUCUGGGAGGCAGAGAAACGUUCUACUUCUACAGCAGAUGCUGCUCAAGACAAUCUUGCUUCUUUGUAUCGUCCUCCUUUUGCCUUGAUGUACCAUGGGUCUUUUGAGAAGGCAAAAGAUGCUGCUAGAGCUCAAAACAGAUGGCUCUUGGUGAAUAUGCAGUCCACGCGAGAAUUCAGCUCACAUAUGCUUAACCGAGACACUUGGGCUAAUGAGGCUGUUGCCCAGACUAUCAAAAGUAACUUCAUCUUCUGGCAGGUGUAUGAUGAUACUGAGGAGGGCAGCAAAGUUUGCACGUACUACAAGUUAGAUUCUAUGCCUGUCGUAAUGGUAAUUGAUCCUAUAACAGGUCAGAAGAUGCGUUCUUGGCGUGGAAUGGUUCAGCCUGAAACUUUGCUAGAGGACCUCAUAUCCUUCAUGGAUGCUAGCCCCUCAGAAUAUCAUGUUAAUCUAUCUCAUAAACGACCCAGAGAAACUCCUCAGGCACCUCGUCAUCCCCAACCUCAACCUCAACCUCAACCUCAACCU